rnacentral:rRNA from 1 species
AGUGAACGCUGGCGGUGGGCCUAACACAUGCAAGUCGAACGGCAGCACAGGAGAGCUUGCUCUCUGGGUGGCGAGUGGCGGACGGGUGAGGAAUACAUCGGAAUCUACUUUUUCGUGGGGGAUAACGUAGGGAAACUUACGCUAAUACCGCAUACGACCUACGGGUGAAAGCAGGGGACCUUCGGGCCUUGCGCGAUUGAAUGAGCCGAUGUCGGAUUAGCUAGUUGGCGGGGUAAAGGCCCACCAAGGCGACGAUCCGUAGCUGGUCUGGGAGGCUGAACAGCCACACUGGAAAGGGGACACGGUCCAGACUCCUACGGGAGUCAGCAGCGGGGAAUAUUGGACAAUGGGCGCAAGCCUGAUCCAGCCAUACCGCGUGGGUGAAGAAGGCCUUCGGGUUGUAAAGCCCUUUUGUUGGGAAAGAAAUCCAGCUGGCUAAUACCCGGUUGGGAUGACGGUACCCAAAGAAUAAGCACCGGCUAACUUCGUGCCAGCCGCCACAGUAA